rnacentral:rRNA from 1 species
AACGAACGCUGGCGGCAUGCCUAAUACAUGCAAGUCGAACGAGAAGGUCACUUCGGUGGCGAGUAUAGUGGCGCACGGGUGAGUAACACGUAGGUGACCUACCUAGUAGUGGGGGACAACAGAGAGAAAUUUCUGCUAAUACCGCAUAAGUUGAGCAACUUUGGAAGGAGCUCAAGAAAGAUGACCUCUCCUUGGAAGUUAUCGCUACCGGAUGGGCCUGCGGGCCAUUAGCUUGUUGGUGGGUAAAGGCCUACCAAGGCGACGAUGGCUAACCGGUCUGAGAGGACGAUCGGUCACACUGGAACUGAGACACGGUCCAG